rnacentral:rRNA from 1 species
AUGGCUGGCCUUCCAAUGAUCAACUCCAACAAGUAUGUCGACAUUCAGCGCUACUGGAGAGUUCCAUACACAGGAAAAGAGUACGACUCCUUGACUGAUGUUGCAGCCAGCGCCAUCCACCCGUUCUACAAAGACAUGAAGAAGAACAUCGACACGCAGGAAGACCACAAACUGUGGGUGAUCAGCCCGCUGCCAGACAAGCUCAUCGAGUACGCAGCAAAAGAUGCGUACGCCACGUUCAAGUCAUGGCAGAUAAUCGACAACAUCACAGAUGGUAGGGAAAUUGCAAAAGCGCGGGAGGUUGACCACUACUACGACUGCCCCUUCCGCCCCUUUUAG